GGCCCUUAAUUCAUAAACUGUUGUGACCUCAACUCCAAAAAUCAAUUCCAACCUUCCUUUUGUGGUCAUAAACCUUGUGUUAAAAUUUCAUUGAUUUCUAUUUACUUAUACUAAAGUUAUUGUGCGAAAACCAAGAAUAAUGCUUAUUUGGGCCCUUUUUUGGCCCUUAAUUCCUAAACUGUUGGAACCAAAACUCCCAAAAUCAAUCCCAACCUCUCUUUUGUGGUCAUAAACCUUGUGUCAAAAUUUCAUAGAUUUCUAUUCACUUAAACUAAAGUUAUAGUGCGAAAACCAAGAAAAUGCUUAUUUGGGCCCUUUUUGGCCCCUAAUUCCCAAAAUGUUGGGACCAAAACUCCCAAAAUCAAUCCCAACCUUCCUUUUGUGGUCAUAAACCUUGUGUUAAAAUUUCAUUGAUUUCUAUUCACUUUUACUAAAGUUAGAGUGCGAAAACUAAAAGUAUUCGGACGACGACGACG
rnacentral:lncRNA from 1 species